rnacentral:rRNA from 1 species
GACAUAGGUGGCAAACGUUAUCCGGAAUUAUUGGGCGUAAAGAGUGCGUAGGUGGUUUAAUAAGUUACUGGUGGGAAAUCGGGACUCAACCCCGUGGAAGUCAGUAAUACUAUUAAACUAGAGGACCGGAGAGGUUAACGGAAUUCUAUGUGUAGCGGUAAAAUGCGUAAAUAUCGCUUGGAACGCCAAUGGUGAAAACAGCUCGCUGGGGGUGUGCUGACGCUGAGACACGAAAGCCAGGGGAGCGAACGGG